rnacentral:rRNA from 1 species
AUUGAACGCUGGCGGCAGGCCUAACACAUGCAAGUCGACCGAGUGGCGGACGGGUGAGUAAUGUCUGGGAAACUGCCCGAUGGAGGGGGAUAACUACUGGAAACGGUAGCUAAUACCGCAUACCAUCGGAUGUGCCCAGAUGGGAUUAGCUAGUAGGGGGGGUAACGGCGCACCUAGGCGACGAUCCCUAGCUGGUCUGCGAGGAGGACCAGCCACACUGGAACUGGGACACGGUCCAGACUCCUACGUGAGGAAGCAGUGGGGAAUAUUGCACAAUGGGCGCAAGCCUUAUGCAGCCAUGCCGCGUGGAGGAAGAAGGCCUUCGGGUUGUAAAGUACUUUCAGCGAGGAGGCGUUACUCGCAGAAGAAGCACCGGCUAACUCCGUGCCAGCAGCCGCGGUAAUUC